rnacentral:tRNA from 1 species
UUCUAAUAUGGCAGAUUAGUGCAAUAGAUUUAAGCUCUAAAUAUAAAGGUUUGACCUUUUAUUAGAA